rnacentral:lncRNA from 1 species
GAAGAAAUCCCGGUACCGGGGUCCCACUCCCACAUAUUCUGAUUGAGUUAGCUGGGGGUGCAACCUACCUAGGAGGUUUUUAAACACCACCCCCCACCCCCCGCUCGGUGAUUCUAAAGUGUAGUAAAAGUUAAGAUCUUUUGCUCCAAAUCCUUCUCAAACAAGGCUUCAGGAAGCCACUACCACAAACAGACGAAAUCCGUGUCCUUUCUGUUCUAAGCCCCGGCUACCCUGUGUGGUUCCAGGACCAGUGACUCUGGCCUCCCUGGUGCUAGUAACUGAUGAGACCCUCAUCCCCAUCCAGACUCGCUGAAUCUGAACCUGCCCUUUAGUCAGAUCCGCAGGGGUUCCGAGCACGCCGCUGGGCUGGAGGCAUUCCAAGCCAAAGAACUUGUGACAAUUAAAAAAAAUCUUCAUGAACUCCACUUCCCAGUAAAAGUUCAUGCAGAUUCAAGUCAGAGGCAAAGACCCAUCCGUGGCGUCAUUUCCACUGAACUUUGACCUAUAGGGGGCUGCCUGAGUGUAGGUUCUUUAUGUCCCCGAGGGGAGGCUCCUUAAUAAGUGACACUGAGCUCUAUCAAGGAUCAUCCGAUGUGGAUAGCCUUCGACUCUCAUCACUACUGGGAAUCUGUCCCAAUGAAAUAACCCAAAAUAUGGUAAAAAGCUCUACAGGGGAAAUAUUUCUGUAACGGAGAUCAGUUUAGUUAGGUUCUGCCGUCUGAGCAGAAAAGCUAAGAGGGAAGCCGGGAUUUUCCAGCCAAGCCUGCCUCACAGG